UACGUAGGGUGCAAGCGUUAAUCGGAAUACUGGGCGUAAAGCGUGCGCAGGCGGUGAUGUAAGACAGGUGUGAAAUCCCCGGGCUUAACCUGGGAACUGCAUUUGUGACUGCAUCGCUGGAGUGCGGCAGAGGGGGAUGGAAUUCCGCGUGUAGCAGUGAAAUGCGUAGAUAUGCGGAGGAACACCGAUGGCGAAGGCAAUCCCCUGGGCCUGCACUGACGCUCAUGCACGAAAGCGUGGGGAG
rnacentral:rRNA from 1 species